rnacentral:rRNA from 1 species
GACGAACGCUGGCGGCGUGCUUAACACAUGCAAGUCGAACGGAAAGGCCCUGCUUUUGUGGGGUGCUCGAGUGGCGAACGGGUGAGUAACACGUGAGUAACCUGCCCUUGACUUUGGGAUAACUUCAGGAAACUGGGGCUAAUACCGGAUAGGAGCUCCUGCUGCAUGGUGGGGGUUGGAAAGUUUCGGCGGUUGGGGAUGGACUCGCGGCUUAUCAGCUUGUUGGUGGGGUAGUGGCUUACCAAGGCUUUGACGGGUAGCUGGCCUGAGAGGGUGACCGGCCACAUUGGGACUGAGAUACGGCCCAGACUCCUACGGGAGGCAGUGGUGGGGAAUAUUGCACAAUGGGAGGAAGCCUGAUGCAGCAACGCCGCGUGCGGGAUGACGGCCUUCGGGUUGUAAACCGCUUUCGCCUGUGACGAAGCGUUAGUGACGGUAAUGGGUAAAGAAGCACCGGCUAACUACGUG